CAACUACUCCCUUUGUCCCAAAUUUCCUGUCUUAGAUUUGUCUAGAUACGGAUGUAUCUAAUACUAAAAUGUGACUUGAUACAUCCGUAUCUAUACAAAUCUAAGACAAGAUUUUUGGGACGGAGGGAGUACUUU
rnacentral:pre_miRNA from 1 species